GUGUCUUUAAGAUUUUUUAGUUAAAUCUGGCCUAUGUUCUUGUCAACUUUUGCCUUUGGUUUCUUCCUUAAGAAUUUGGCUUUCUAGAUUAUGUGUUCUUUUCUUUUCUGUCAUUCUUUGUCUAUAUUCUUCAUAAAAAGGAAAACUUGUUUAAAAAUGUAUGCACAUAUUGGUUGUUGCACCUAACAGAAAUUUUAUUUUAUAGAAAGUUAUUUUAUGUUAAAACCUACAGACCAAAAUCUAAUGCUAAAAAAAUUAACUGUAUUAUAUCCCUGUACUACAUAUCAUACAAGUUACCUUCCAAUUGUAUUAUGAGUUUAAUUUUGACAUAUUGAUAGUUUAAAAGCGUUUUAUACAGUCGACCAAUCAUAUUUGAUCUUUUGGGUGACCAUUCACGCUGUCAAUGUAAAAGAUAGUUAUUUUUACUAAUGUGUCGUUACGUAAUUAGAUGUAUAUGAAAAAACUGUUUUACACUUACGGUGCAUCAAAACUAAAUUCUUUUAAUAUAUUGUAAACUUUUGCUUGUUUGAAACUGAAGGUUAGAUCUCUUCAGACUGAUCACUAUGAAAAGUAUA